rnacentral:lncRNA from 10 species
ACAGGACUUAUGAUUGACUAGGCCCCUGGGACAUUCCAGCAAGAAGCAGGAGAUGAAGAGUCCCACUGGAGUGACCAGCCAGAGAGGACAUCCAGUCUAGCACAGGUCGGGGUGGGUUGCAGUCACCUUGGGAAGGACCACAGUACUUCACCCAAGGACCUCGUGGUGACAACACAGAUUCCAGGCUCUCAGCUUUCCUUUGUAGUAAGUGAGGCUGCAACCCCAGGAGCAAGGAGGAGGAAAAGGAACAGAUUCUGAAGGUCAUACUCCGAGCCAGCCAAAGAGAAUUAAUAUAGGUGCCUUAUCUGAAAGGCAUCUCUUAGCUCACAGAAUCCACUGGAUGCUGGGAAGCCAGACUGGCACAGACAAGCCAAGGAAGCAAGGUGCAGCCAAAGCUUGCUCACAGCAUGACCGGCGUGACGCCCAGACGUUUGUCUCUGGAUUCGCUCCCAGAGCUUCCCCUACAGGGACUUCCGUCCCCUGCCACCGGACAACUGCCCUUUGACAAUGGGCUUCCACCUUCCCUGCAGUUGCCCCACUGACUCUGCCUGACCCCGUGCCUUCAUUCACUCCACAGGAAAUCACAUCCUUAGAUGCCCCUUGUGGCUUUCCUCCAGGGUGGCCCCAGCUCUGUCCACCAGGCAAGGAGUUGGCUUGUGAUGUGGUUUGGCUGUGUCCCCACCCAAAUCUCAUCUUGAGUUGUAGCUCCCGUAGUUCCCACAUGUCAUGGGAGGGACCUUGUGGGAGAUCAUUGAAUCAUGGGCGUGGUUUCCUCUAUUUUGUUCUCGUGGUAGUGAAUAAGUCUCAUGAGAUCUGACGGUUUUAUGAGAGGUUUCCCCUUUUGCUUGGUUCUCAUUCUGUCUCUUGCCUGCUGCCAUGUAAGAUGUGCCUUUUGCCUUCUGCCAUGAUUGUGAGGCCUGCCCAGCAAUGUGGAACUGUGAGUCUAUUCAACCUUUUUUAAAUAAAUUAUCCAGUGUUGGGUAUGUCUUUACCAGCAGCAUGAAAAUGGACUAAUACAGCUUGCCUUCCCCUGUGGCCUCACCUUCCUCUGCAGAGCUCAGACCCCCACCUGCUGUCUAUUUGGGAUUCCAAAAACAGUAAGGCAUCCAGGUGCUUUGGAAUCAAGCAGCCACUCCACCAGGUGGUCUCACUUCACUCUGUCCUCGUGUCAUCAAUGUCAUUCGUUUUCUACAAUCUAAUCUUUUAAAGGCUUCUGUGUACAGUUGAAGCAUGUAGGUUGUUUCUAAUAUAUUCUAUUUUAAACAACACUGCAGUGAACAUCUGUCUAGUUAAAUCUUUGGGCACAUCCAUGAUUAUUUUCUUAAGAUAAACUUCUCAAAGUUGAACUCCAGCACGGAUGGUGUGACAGCACAUCAAGGCUCUUGUUGGACAAGACUCAGGGCAAACCCCCGUGUCAGUGACAUGACAAGAUGCAGGGCAAACCCCACGUCAGUGACAUGACACGGCAGUCAACAUUCUUGUUGCCAGAUACAUUCAUAUGAGAAGUGUACAUUUGCACAAUCACACACAGAGGCAAAAGGUUUUUGAAAGCUGGCAUUAAAUACUGUGUUUCUCAUGACUACGUCUUUUCUCAGGUUCUGUGUUUUUUUUUUGGUGGGGGGCAUAGCAUGUAGGGAAUUGAAAUAGUAAUAUCACAGACUCCAGCACUGGCAUCAAGAAAGAACAUUAUUUCAGUGAUAAAUAUGUAAUGUUCAAACUUUCCUUACGUGCGGCAAAUGUGUUUGCCUGCCCUUUCGCGGCUCUUCGAGUUAGUGUUGGAAACGUGUCCAAAUAUGAUUGGUCACAUCUUUGGUUAGCAUUUCGGUGUGGAAUAGUACCGUUUGAAUGCUACCCUUUCCGUGUAUCUGCAGGUGUGCACAUGCAUGUAUAUGUAUGUACAAAUAGCAGACUAUUUCUGUGAUGAAUAUGUAAUGUUCAAACUUUUCUUACGUGCGGCAAAUGUGUUUGCCUGCCCUUUCGCGGCUCUUCGAGUUACUGUUGUAAAUAUGUGUCCAAAUAUGAUUGACCACGUCUUUGGUUAGCAUUGCAGUGUGGAAUAGUACCGCUUGAAUGCUAUCCUUUCCGUGUAUCUGCAGGUGUGCACAUGCAUGUAUAUGUACAAAUAGCAGACAGAUUCAAGUUUCAGUACAGCCAAUCCCAACUAGAAGACCUCGGAUCCAUAAUGAGAUGCAUGACAAAUAGAAGUCAUAUACCCACAGUACACAUGCUGGAGUGUCCAAGCAUUCAUGCAAUUCUUUUCUUUUCUCUUCUUUCUCUUUUUUUUUUUUUUCUUGAGACAGAGUUUCACUCUUGUUGCUCAGGCUGGAGUGCAAUGGCGUGAUCUCAGCUCACUGCAACCUCUGCCUCCCGGGUUCAAGCAAUUCUCCUGCCUCAACCUCCCAAGUAGCUGAGAUAACAGACACCCACCACCACGCCCGGCUAACUUUUUGUAUUUUUAGCAGAGACAGGGUUUUACCAUGUUGGCCAGGCUGGUCUCGAACUUCUGACCUCAGGUGAUCCACCUGCCUCAGCCUCCCAAAGUGCUGGGAUUACAGGCGUGAGCCACCAUGCCCGGCCCACGCAAUUUCUUUACUCUGCAAAAAUAUUUUUGGCUCAGUCCAUUCAUACAGUCCAGUUGCUCACAGACAGCGCCUCCUUCUCACUUUUCUCAGGAACCCGCUUCUCAACUCCUACCCGCCACUGUUUCUGGUUAGUAAGAGGGUGAGAUAAAAUAUGGAGAAUGCAUGGGGACCGCGAAGGGGGAGGUUUUGAAAUCGAUUAAAAAACUCGACCUGCGUUAGUAUUAGAUUUUUCCUUAUGUUUAAUUAAGUCUAAUUAAACAAUGCUGACAUCUUCUUGGCACCUGUGGUGCAAUGAUGUUAAAUAUUUAAUGCUUGUGAAGGAUUAGGCUACACUUCUAAUCUAUAGCUAACAAUCUGUUCCCUCUCUGGAGUAUUUUUUAUUUAGUUCUGCUUUUGUAUAAUGAGUUACAUUUCAAAGGAGAUUGUUAAAAACUUCAGCACCGAUGGGCCACGUUGUUGCCCAGCGGAUUGGAAGGAGAGGCGCCAUGCCACGCCACUUCUAUCUGGGCCAGUCCUCGGUGGUGGUUUCCUACAGAGAGAGAGAAGGCAAAGGUGAAAGUCACCAAGGGGCCUCUUCAGGGGCUUUUUCAGCCCCAUGGAGCCCGGUGACUAAGGACGCUGAACACAUGGACACAAGCUCACAUUGAAAACACCUCUCCAUGCUCUGCAGAUAUUUCCCUGAAUGUUCUCUGGCCCCCUUCUCCCUAACGGCUGUCAGUUGAAUAAUGAAAAAUUAUAUUUGUAUAUGUGUACAUCUUUUGUAUAUUGCAUAUUUGUAUAUUGUAUAUGUAUGUCUUAAAAUUGCAUGUCUUUACCCGCCUCCUCCAGCACACACCCACCCCUCUGCCUCUCAGAGAAAAUGAAGCCGUGCUAGAGAGAUGAGCACCUAUUUCAAAGAACUCGCUUCAAAAAAAAAGUCUGUGGCUAUUUCUGGAACUAGAAAUGCCGAGUAAGGCUGUUUGCAAAUUGUCAGGCUCAGCCUCUAAAGGAAACCCAGUCCCUCCUGAUUCAUCUUGGCCUGAAGUUGUUUCUGAUAGGAGAAAUUCAACUUGCUCUUCGCAUAUGCAACAAUCGGUACGAGACUCUCAAAACGGGAAGCCUGCUUUCAUUUCUCUGAUGAUUCCUAAUAUUUUGAAUAUGUUUAAGAACAAAAGACAGAUUCAUGUAAUGAGCUUCCAAUUGGCUGAAUCUGUGUAAUCAAUUUCUCAGGGUUUUUAAUUUUCUUCCCUCCUCCGCACAGCAUGGCGGCAGUAGAAACUUCUUACUCCUAAGUUGGAAAGAGGAUCCAGUAGCCUCUUUGGUUAAAUCAAUUGAACUUUUAAAAAUUUAAAUUAGCUCACUUAUACAAGUUCUGGUGGUGAUGAAUUAUCCUCAGGGUUUUUGGGCAGAGAUGAAAAUUA